rnacentral:rRNA from 1 species
UGAAUGAGGAAACUCACCUGGGUUCAUACUCAGGUACGUUAUACUGAACUUAAAAAUAGGUAUAUCGAGGGAACCGCCUGAACUGAAACAUCUAAGUAGGGCGAGGAAGAGACAUCAAACGAGAUUCCGUAAGUAGUGGCGAGCGAACGCGGAAGAGGGCAAACCGGGAGUAGAAAUACUUCCGGGGUACGGACUGCUUUUAGGACUCAAUCUGUUAACCGAACGGCAUGGGAAGGCCGGUCAGAGAGUGUGAGAACCACGUAGGUGAAAACGGAGAGAGCUGCGCAGGAUCCAGAGUACGGCCAGACACGUGAAACCUGGUCGGAAUACGGGGGGACCACCCUCCAACCCUAAAUACUACCCAGUGACCGAUAGCGUAUAGUACUGUGAAGGAAAGGUGAAAAGGACCCCGGGAGGGGAGUGAAAGAGAACCUGAAACCGUAUGUCUACAAGCAGUCGGAGCGAAAGCGACGGCGUGCCUAUUGAAGAAUGAGCCAACGAGUUGCGUGUGCUGGCGAGGUUAAGCAGAAGAUGCGGAGCCGUAGGGAAACCGAGUCUGAACAGGGCGUCAAGUCAGUAUACGCAGACCCGAAACCGGGUGAUCUAUCCAUGUCCAGGUUGAAGUUGCCGUAAAAGGCAAUGGAGGACCGAACCCACAUCCGUUGAAAAGGGUGGGGAUGAGGUGUGGAUAGGGGAGAAAUUCCAAUCGAACCCGGAGAUAGCUGGUUCUCCUCGAAAUAGCUUUAGGGCUAGCCUCGUUUUAGUCUUAUGGAGGUAGAGCACUGAAUUUCCGCGGGGGCGUCAAAGCUUACCAAAGAAUAUCAAACUCCGAAUGCCAUGUAGAUGAUGAUCGGGAGUCAGACUGCACGAGAUAAGUUGGGCAGUCAAAAGGGAAAGAGCCCAGACCACCGGCUAAGGUCCCAAAGUGCGUGUUAAGUGGAAAAGGAUGUGGGAUUUCGAAGACAACUAGGAUGUUGGCUCAGAAGCAGCCAUACAUUCAAAGAGUGCGUAAUAGCUCACUAGUCGAGAGGUCCUGCGCCGAAAAUGUCCGGGGCUGAAACACGACACCGAAGCCGUGGACUCGCAAUGCGAGUGGUAGAGGAGCAUUCUUAAAACCGACGAAGCUGUACCGGAAGGAGCAGUGGAGGGAUAAGAAGAGAGAAUGCCGGAAUGAGUAGCGAGAUUUAAGUGAGAAUCUUAAAGGCCGAAUAUCUAAGGUUUCCAGAGUAAAGCUGAUCUGCUCUGGGUAAGUCGGGGCCUAAGCACAGGUCGCAAGACGUAAGCGAUGGAUAACAGGUUUAGAUUCCUGUACCACGCAUUAUCAGAACUGUAGGGACGCAUGUGGAAAGCACGGGCCGGGAAUGGAAAAACCGGUACAAGCGGGGUAGGUGUACAAUAGGCAAAUCCGUUGUAUAAUCCGAAGACGUGAUGUGGAGCGAAAUAAAGUAGUGAAGCGUGUGAGCCAUGUGCCGAGAAAAGCUGCUAUUGUGUAAUGCGUGCCCGUACCGUAAACCGACACAGGUGGAUGAGGAGAGAAUCCUAAGGCCGACGGAAGAAGCAUUGUUAAGGAACUCGGCAAAAUGACCCCGUAACUUCGGGAGAAGGGGUGCCUGCGAGAGCAGGCCGCAGAGAAUAGGCUCAAGCAACUGUUUAGCAAAAACACAGGUCUAUGCGAAACCGAAAGGUGAAGUAUAUGGGCUGACGCCUGCCCGGUGCUGGAAGGUUAAGAGGAGAGGUUAGCGCAAGCGAAGCUUUGAAUUUAAGCCCCAGUAAACGGCGGCCGUAACUAUAACGGUCCUAAGGUAGCGAAAUUCCUUGUCGGGUAAGUUCCGACCCGCACGAAAGG